rnacentral:lncRNA from 1 species
UUUCUUUCCAUUUGUUUGAAAGACUCCUUUGAUUGAUUUUUAUUUUUUUUUUUUGAGAGGUUGCAGAUCACCCAUCAGAAAAUAUGAAAUUCAGCAUAACCGGGGUUGCUUUCCUUGUUAUACUUCUCCUCAAAUGAUGCUGACAGCCUAACUCUACCAAUCUUUCCAAACCCAUCCCUCCCUCCCCUUCUCAUGCCCAUUCCUUCCCUUGUGUUCCAGCUGUACUUUUCUCCUCACCAGGAUGAUGAUGGACAGAUGCCACUAAAUGGAUACUGCAGAGCUGGGCAGGGAGUGAAGGGCUUGGGGCAGUUCAUGCAAAUGGAGUCGCUCCCACCCCCCAGGGUGUUUAGCUCAGCUGCUUCCCAGCCGGAAUGCUCUGCUCUGCACAGCAGCACCUGGGCUGUCCUGUGCUCCCUGGGCAAAGCCUGCUGCCCUGGGCCCGUGUGAUCACUGUGGCUUUAACCGCUGCAGGCAGGGAAACACGAAGGCGGUGUUUGGCUUGACCUUCUGUACUGCUGUGUGUAGUUCCAUAGAAAUGUCUUCAUUGCUCUUAUUUAAAACAGGGUUGGAAUUGCUGGAGAAUACACAAUGCAUGCUGCUUGCUAGAUUGUCCCUAAAGUACAUUCUGACAUGUUUUAUCAAAGUGGAUCAAUCAGAAAAAGACUCUUGUAGAAGCAGUGUACAAAGCCUCCAAAAAUUAAAGUAUUAAAAAAAAAAAAAAAAAAAGAAAAAUAGAUGUUCUGAGAAAAGUUUGAAGUAAGCAGCCAGCCAAACUGAUAGCCACAGGUUAUUAUUUUUUGUCCACAAAUCCUUCAAUUACUUUUGCAGUGAUCUUUUCUUUGGAGUGUCGGGAAUUAAGUCUUCCCAAUUAAUUUUCAUUAAGUUUGGUGGGGCCUAAGGAAUUUAGCAAUCCUGCCUGGAUAACACUGCCCCUGCUUUUAUAUGCAAACAGACAACAGAAUCACUGACUCAUCCUCCCUGCCUGCUCAAUUUGCUAUAUUAUUUAUAAUGUAACAUCAUUAGGUCUGGCUCCUUUAACCCAAAACCCAUCAGAGGUGUAGCCUAGGCAAAAGCAGGGCAUCUCCUUCCCUAGAGCUGUGGAAACAUUUGCAAGGGAAGGGGUGGGUGAGACGAAAAUAAACUAAAUCCCAAACAAACCAACAGCUCGAGUCGUACACAAACCUGUUUCAUUGCUUUAGAACCCUGUUCAGAUCAAGACUCGAAUUUCUAAGGAGGGAAUCUCAGAUCCCAGACCCUUCCCUUCUCCUCUCCUCUUGCAAAGCAACACUAUUUUUGUGGCCUAGAACAGUACUUUACAAACAGCAGUUAGUAAAGACGCAGUUGUGAUAUAUCCUUUAAC